rnacentral:rRNA from 1 species
AUUGAACGCUGGCGGAAUGCUUUACACAUGCAAGUCGAACGGCAGCACGGGGGCAGCCCUGGUGGCGAGUGGCGAACGGGUGAGUAAUACAUCGGAACGUGCCCGGUCGUGGGGGAUAACGUAGCGAAAGUUACGCUAAUACCGCAUACGAUCUGAGGAUGAAAGCGGGGGACCUUCGGGCCUCGCGCGAUCGGAGCGGCCGAUGUCAGAUUAGGUAGUUGGUGGGGUAAAGGCCUACCAAGCCGACGAUCUGUAGCUGGUCUGAGAGGACGACCAGCCACACUGGGACUGAGACACGGCCCAGACUCCUACGGGAGGCAGCAGUGGGGAAUUUUGGGCAAAGGGCGCAAGCCUGAUCCAGCCAUUCCGCGUGCAGGACGAAGGCCUUCGGGUUGUAAACUGCUUUUGUACGGAACGAAAAGGCUCUGGCUAAUACCUGGGGCUCAUGACGGUACCGUAAGAAUAAGCACCGGCUAACUACGUG